GAUGAAUCUUUGUGUAUCUCCAGAGAGGGGAGCUCCUCCUGAAAUCAGAAACCGGAUAUGACCUCCUAAAAUUGCUCGAACCUUUCGAAAAACUAUAAAAUUCCAUAGGAGUUUCUCUAGACCCCAUGCUCCAAACCAACUUCCAAUAAUUGCUGCCGAUCUGCGACCAUAUGCAAAAUCAAAUAAUUUCUUGGCUAAACCACCCUUUGCAUCGACCUUUUUACGCACGCCAUCUCGGACACGAUCAAGUAUGGCAGGUACAGCAGUCAUCAGGGUUGGUUUCAAGGCUGAAGCAUCACCUUGUGUACCCUUUUUAAUCUUGUUUGAUGUAUCAGUAAGAGUCAAUGGUGAUCCAUAUCCUAUGGCAAUUCCUGUAGCAGCCAUUACAGCCUCUGCAGCUAGUUCAAGAACAUGAGCCAGUGGCAGAUAUGCCAAAUAGAUGUCUUUACUCCCAAGCCCAGGAACAACCGUCACCACCGCAGAACCUG
rnacentral:misc_RNA from 1 species